UAGGGAAUCUUCCGCAAUGGACGAAAGUCUGACGGAGCAAUGCCGCGUGAGUGAAGAAGGUUUUCGGAUCGUAAAACUCUGUUGUUAGAGAAGAACAAGGAUGAGAGUAACUGCUCAUCCCCUGACGGUAUCUAACCAGAAAGCCACGGCUAACUACGUGCCAGCAGCCGCGGUAAUACGUAGGGAGCAAGCGAUAUCCGGAUUUACUGGGCGUAAAGCGUCUGCAGGUGGUUUCUUAAGUCUACUGUU
rnacentral:rRNA from 1 species